UCGUCUUUGGCUUUGACGAAAAUGCACCUACAAAACAAUCAACACCUUUGAUCUAAGACCUAAGCUUCACGCGCCCACAAGCUGGGGGUGGGGGGUUAGGCCAAUGGAUUCCUGAUCCCUAAGUUAGUUUCUCUGAAAAAAGAGUAAGUGUUUAGGACUUGUAAGGGUAGCUAAAGCUGAACGAAAUUUAGUAGAGAUGGAGGUAUAUAUAGGGGAGUGGCCGUCCAUGGUGUUAUGGUUUUAUCCUACACAUGGUGGCAUCAUAUUGGCCAAGGUUUAUGGAGAGAAUAUUCUUAAGAUAUUAAAUAGGAAAUAAUAUCUUGAUAUAAUAGUGUAAAUAUCCCUAAUUAAUUUAAAUAGUGAUUACUUGAAUGGAGUCAAUCUUCAAUUGGGAAUGUAUUAAAGAUAGGAUUUGGUAUUUAAUCCUUAUAAAUGCCUUUGACUUUUCCUUGCUAUGGGCAGGUGUGCUGUGAGUAGUUGUAUUCAGUUACUUGGUCCUGGGGUGUUGAGCUGCGCAUGAGAGUAUAUGUGAAGCCUACCCAUUUAAUGAAGGCAAUUUUGUCUUGCUUGAGCAAAAGUCCAUGUGUCGCCUCUAGAAUUUUUGGGAUUAUUUUAGGCUCCACACUUAUCACAACUCUAGUCAAUAGGGCUAGAAGGGUUAUUUAUGUGUAUCGAAUGUGAGAGCAAAAACCCUUGUUAUAUAGUAAAAGAGGUGGAAUCCGAUUAAGAAACUUCCCAUCAUGUAAUUCUACUCGAACAAGACUUUAUCACCUAAACUUUAGUAUUCAUAUCUGAUUAGGUUUACUAAUUGAAUCAGGAUUGCUAUUGCUAUAAAAUCCUAAUAAUACAAUUUCCUUAUUUGCGUACAAGUAUUAUUGAAAUCAAUCUCUGCAAUCCUUAAUCUAUAUGAGACGUUACAUACAAUUGUGCAACUCUAAUAUAGGCUUACAUUCUCCCACUAGAGUGUACACUUGUAUACAACAUACUCAAAACCGAAUAUUAAAAAUUGCUCUUAAUGGCCGUGAGAUUAAAAUAAUAAAAUUCAUGAUAAACAAACUU
rnacentral:lncRNA from 1 species